GAUGCCAAGAUGGGCACCACCCCAAGGACA
rnacentral:tRNA from 1 species